rnacentral:lncRNA from 14 species
GCAUCAGUUAUCACAUCCCUAAACCCUGUUUUCUGUCCCUUGGCAGUGGUGCUUCAAUGGUGAGUGUGUGCCCGUGGGCUUCCGUCCCGAUGCCAUCAAUGGUGGCUGGAGCUCCUGGAGCUCCUGGGCUGCCUGUUCCCGCAGCUGUGGUGCUGGUGUGCAGAGCGCAGAGAGGCAGUGCAGCAGCCCCACGCCGAAGUACGGGGGCAGGUACUGCCUGGGGGAGCGGAAGCGGUUCCGGAUCUGCAACGUCCGGCUGUGCCCCCCGGACAAGCCCUCCUUCCGCCAGGUCCAGUGCAGCCAGUUCAACCCCAUGCUCUACAAAGGGAAGUUCUACAAGUGGACACCGGUGCCCAACAACAUUAACCCCUGUGAGCUGCACUGCCGCCCCGAGCAUGAGUACUUUGCAGAGAAGCUGCGGGAUGCAGUCAUUGAUGGGACACCAUGCUAUGA